GACGAACGCUGGCGGCGUGCUUAACACAUGCAAGUCGAACGGAAAGGCCCUGCUUUUGUGGGGUGCUCGAGUGGCGAACGGGUGAGUAACACGUGAGUAACCUGCCCUUGACUUUGGGAUAACUUCAGGAAACUGGGGCUAAUACCGGAUAGGAGCUCCUGCUGCAUGGUGGGGGUUGGAAAGGUUCGGCGGUUGGGGAUGGACUCGCGGCUUAUCAGCUUGUUGGUGGGGUAGUGGCUUACCAAGGCUUUGACGGGUAGCCGGCCUGAGAGGGUGACCGGCGCAGUUGGGCACAACACACGGCGCAGCAUCCUAGGGGAGGCAGGGGUGGGGAAGAGACCCCUAGGGGCGGACGCCUGAUGCCGCAAGGACGGGGGAGGGUGGACGCGCGUCGGGUUAUAGACCGUUGUCGCGUGUGAGGGGGGGGGAGUGGCGGUAAGGGGACAAGACGCCCCGGAUAACUGCUGGCCAGCACCCGCGCUAAUGAUCGCCCAGCACACGUCUGAGC
rnacentral:rRNA from 1 species